rnacentral:rRNA from 1 species
CGUGGGUAACCUGCCCAAGAGAUCGGGAUAACACCUGGAAACAGAUGCUAAUACCGGAUAACAACAGAUGAUGCCUAUCAACUGUUUAAAAGGUGGUUCUGCUAUCACUCUUGGAUGGACCUGCGGUGCAUUAGCUAGUUGGUAGGGUAACGGCCUACCAAGGCGAUGAUGCAUAGCCGAGUUGAGAGACUGAUCGGCCACAUUGGGACUGAGACACGGCCCAAACUCCUACGGGAGGCAGCAGAU